GCCCGCGUGGUGGAAUGGUAGACACAGGAGACUUAAAAUCUCCAGACCGGACGGUCGUGCGAGUUCGAGUCUCGCCGCGGGCACCA
rnacentral:tRNA from 1 species